GAAGUCAAUGGUCUGAACAUUGAUCUAAAAGCAGCGAGAAGGGCGUUCGGAGUGAUCAGUAAGAACGACAAACUCCUUGAAAGGCUCUCCGAUGUGAUCUCUGUUGAUCUGUGUACCAGCAUACCCCAGUCGACACCCCACACCGAAGCCCUUCAGUUCGUAUUUAUUCUGAUGGAAUGUCCUGUCUUCAGUAACCCUCACCGCCACUGGGGGCGCCGUGCCCUGGCCGCUGCAGAAAGGUUGUUAGGAUUCCUUCACACGGCAUCGCAGGCCGCAUACAACAAUUCCAACUCGGCAACACCUGCUCGUUGGUGGAAGUUCGAACCAAUGUCAUUUCAGCGUACAAUCACGGCUUACCGAAUGUCCCUCAC